CCCUUAGAUGUCCUGGGCCGCACGCGUGCUACACUGACGCCUACAGCGAGUACUUCCCAGCCCCGAGAGGCGGCUGGUAAUCAGCAAUAGGCGUCGUGAUGGGGAUAGAUCUUUGGAAUUAUGGAUCUUGAACGAGGAAUGCCUAGUAAGCGCAGGUCAUUAGCCUGCGCUGAUUACGUCCCUGCCCUUUGUACACACCGCCCGUCGCUACUACCGAUUGAAUGAUUUAGUGAGGACUUCGGACUGGGACCGAUGCGGCUUUCGGGCUGCGUCGGUAUUCUGGAAAGAUGUCCAAACUGUAUCAUUUAGAGGAAGUAAAANUCGUANCA
rnacentral:rRNA from 1 species